GACGAGGGGUCCUAGCGUUGUUCGGAAUCACUGGGCGUAAAGAGUUCGUAGGCGGCUCCAAAAGUCGGGUGUGAAAUCCCACGGCUCAACCGUGGAAGUGCAUUCGAAACUGCGGAGCUUGAAUAUGGUAGAGGAGAGUAGAAUUGCUGGUGUAGUGGUGAAAUACGUAGAUAUCAGCAGGAAUACCGGUGGCGAAGGCGGCUCUCUGGACCAAUAUUGACGCUGAGGAACGAAAGUGCGGGGAUCAAACAGG
rnacentral:rRNA from 1 species